UGCUUGAUGAAUUUUAAAUUGGGAUAAAGAAGACAUAAAAAUUUGAAGUCAGCACUUGCAAUCUAAGGGCAAUACGGAGAUAUUUAACCUUGCUACUGACCAUUGAAUGUUAUUGAUUGGUGAAAUUGUUGUGGUGCAUGGGUGAAUUUUGGAUCACAGAUGUGCUUAUUCUGGGCUAGCAUGAGAUGUCUCUCAGACUAGAAUCUUAGUAAUUUAAAAAAUUCAUUAAUAGAUCUUAGACAACUCUAUUUUUAUUUUAAUGUGCCUGCCUAUGCUUGUCCACACAAAUUGAGAGCUCAAAGUUGAGAAAAAGGGAAGAGGCCAAGGGGCUAAAGGAAGAGGGAUAAAGGGUUGCAAAUCCAAAAUUGAACUUGAAAUAAAAUUGCCAUAGCUCCAUAUCUCCAUU
rnacentral:lncRNA from 1 species